ACAACAACAACAACAAUAGCAUGUUUCAUUUUAUCUAUAUGAGAUAAAAACAAUAAAUAUGUACAAUAAUUGAGAAAAAGGUACAUUUUUAUGGUAUUAAUAUGACAUUAUCAACUUUGAAACAUUUUAUUUAAUUUGUUAUCCGUGUUUAGUAAAGAUGCCGAGGAAUUAUUCAAAGUUUCAAAUUAGAUUUUAUGAAUUAUUCAAUUGAUUGAUAAUUUAAAAAAUGAUAAAGAAAGAUACAAAUGUACAUGUACAUGGUUUAAGAAUAAACAAUAUUAUAUAUUGAAAGAUUAACCAUAAUUUACUGACUUUUUCCAGUUAAGUUUUGACUUAUAAUCGUCGGUCAAUAUGACAAUUGAAUUCUUAAAAUUUAUUUUACAAUUUUAAUAAAAAAAAGAGUAGUAAACAUAAAUACUCAGUAUUAAAAUAGCACAUAAAACACAAAAAAGAAAAGAAAACAAUAUUCAUAAAAUUUGUAUAUUUUUAUUAAAAUUAAUAGAUAUUAAUUAUUGUAUAAUAAAAAAUUAUGCUCAACAUGAUCAACAUGGUAAUAUAACCAGUGUCAUAUUUUUACUAAGUGUGAACAGGUACCUUAAGAGGGGGUCUUCGCUAAUAGCGGACAAUUACACAAGUGUGGUACGUGUUGAUCAUGCGUUACACAUGGAUUAUAAAUGAUUGUAUACAUGUAUAUUAGCUAUAACAAGUCUCUUGUAAUUCUUUCGAGAAUGGCUAUAUACAAAUUUAAUGUUUUAAAUGUUUUAUAUGUAUAUAUGUUUAUAGAUGAGACUAUAAUAAAGAAUAAAAUGUAUAUCCGUUGCUAUUAAUAACCACGAUCAUAAAGAAAUAACAAGUAAUAUUCUAAUCUCUAGCAUGCCAAUCAAAGUUCAUAAUGAACAAUGUCUUUCGUCCGCUCAUUCAUAAGUGAUAUACAAUUCUGGUAGUUUAUAAGAAUAUCUUGUCAUCAGUGAGUUAGCCAAUAGCGGAUCAUAGCCAAUAACGGGUCAGUCAGUUAUUUAAUAAAUUAUUUUACUAAAUGUUUUGAACUUAAAAGUGUUAUAACCUAACAGUCAUGUGCAUUAGGAUGUAAGCUCCUCGACAGCGAAAAAAGAAAUGUAAACAUCCGGAUAAUUCUAAUCAGAUUCAUUCAGAUGCUUUACCAAGCGUUUCCGUUUGUCGCGAAAUAUUGCGCCAGUAACAACACAAAUUUGCAGUCGCUGCUUUAUUGCUGAAAAACCCCAAAAGAUAUUAGAUCAAAGCUGAUUCUAAUACCUAAGGGAAAGAGAAAAAGUGUUCAAUGUAGUCCAGCCCAGAAUGCAGCCUCCUCAGUGGAAACUUCAGAACAAUCCAUGGUCCUUAGAAAGUCAGUUAUCAAAGGGUAUCACGCUUUUCAAAUAAGACCACCAUCAACUACACCCCCAACACGUCUAACUGUAGAGCCUGAAUAUACAAAUACUCAUGAUACUGAUGCCUGCUUGGUGUGGUUGCCGCCACUUGAGUCAUUCCAAACAUUGUUACAGGAUAGUGUCACUGACCAAAAACGCCAGCUUCGGUUGCGAGAUGUAGCAGGACUUCCAAUUAGCCAUGUUCGACGAGGGAUAGCUGGCUUUUUUCGUACCAUUAUGGACAAAGGACAUAUCGAAGCUGAGGUUACUGGUGAGCCCACUCAGAGUUUCCCACCAUGGCCAGCUCCAAGUUCUGAAGGUGGUGGGGUUGUGUUGCCAUGCAACUAUAUUAUAUUUCACCCAGAUAUUGAGAGUAAUUUUCAAAAAAACUUUCUGUAAUAUUAGAUAAAAUCCCAGAAGGCCCUGCCAUGACACUGAACAAGGAAUAAACAUAUGUUAAUUUUCAACUCUGUAAAAGCCAAUUAAGCCUAACAAUGCUAUUAUUAUUUUUUUCAGUCUUGUUAUUUUAAGGCUAUCACUUUAUUUUUUCAAAGCUUUGUUAUUUUUAAUGUCCAUUUUACAGCUUCCAGAAGUUACUUAUUGGUCAUAUUUCUGAACCAUUUUUAGUUUCCUUUGUGCUUAGGUUUAGUACAGUUAAAGUUAAUUAGUAUUUUGUAUUAAUUUACUUGCUUUAUCACAAAUGAUUUUAUAUUCAAAGGUAUUUUCAUCAGAUGAUAAGCAUCUCACAUGAUAUAAAUCCAUAUUACAACAUAUUUAAACUCAUUUUUGCACUUUCGACAGAAUUAUUAAUUUUUCUUACACAUAAUGUGCUUAAAGUGACUGAAAAUUUAGAAUUUUUUUAACCAAGCAAGUAUUGUUUAAUGAUCUAGUCAAUAUUGUUUUACAUAAUUAAAUGUAUUUUUUUAGGUUUGACUUGAACCAAGUCAAUUUUGUUUAAUGAUAAUAAGUCAAUAUUGUUUUACAUAAUUAAAAUGUUGUUUUUUUUAGGUUUGAUGUUGAACCAAGUCAGUAUUGUUUAAUGAUCGAGUCAAUUUUGUUUUACAUAAUUAAAUGGGUUUUUCUUUAGGUUUGACGUCGAACCAAGUCAGUAUUGUUAAAUGAUGUAGUCAAUAUUGUUUUACAUCAUUACAUGUAUUUUGUUAUGAUUUUGUUUGUUUAUAUCACAGUUUACUCAAUAAGAGAAAAUCAGUUGACAAUUUUGUUUGUUAUUCUUAUAAAGUGUAUCCUCAUAAUGACCACAUAGAAGAACAUGCAAAUUUCUUGAGACUGCAUUUUAAGCUUUUGAUUCACAACAAGACACUUGUGUUACAGUUAAUUUAAUUUUACGUAGAAUGUGCAAAAAAUUGCUUCAAUGAGCUGCCUUGUCCCCUGUAACCCUGAAAAUAAAAUAAAUAUGUUAUCUACACAAUUUACAAUUCAUUGAGCAGAUAUCUAGAUCAGCAUUAUUACAAUCAUUAUUUUUACCACAAUCAUGCAGCUGCCACUUGGAUUCUUGACUUAUUGGUACCCUUUUCACUUUAAUACUCAACGGUAACACAUAGCUGUGUAAUAUUUUCCUGGUUAAGGAAGAAUUUGACAGAUAAUUAAUGUUUUGAGAAAACCGUAUAUCACGUGACCCGCUAAUGGCCGAUUUGACCCGCUAUUGGCAUGUUUACAAGAAGUUUGGAAACGGUAAAUACACCACGAUGCAUUCAAAAUAUGAAUCACAAGAAGUAUACAGUAAAAGGGGAAUAAAAAUACUUCUAAUCAUCAUACAUUUAUAUAUGAAUCAAAAAUCGUUCGUUCAUAAACACUAAAAGUUUCGCUAGUGAUCCGUUAUUGGCCAACUCACUGUCUGUCUACUAGUUCAUCUUCACUUGCUGCAUUUCUUGAUUGGACGCCCUUUGAUGCUUUGCAUCAAUGCUUUUCUUGUAUAAAUUGUAACGAAAAUAGAGGAAUGGUAUAUGUGUGCGGAGAUACAAACUCGAGAAUUGGUUCAAACUCUGACUGUAUAAAUUAUGAUAAUAAUUAUAUUGUUAUAUGAGCAUGCUUAUUUAGCUAUGGAUUCAUUUAUUCCGCGGACAACGACUGAUCGUGGUACAAACCGGUUUGGGGAACAAUUACUUGAUCUUUGUAAAUCUACAGAUAUACGCAUUGUAAACGGACGGUUGGAUAUAGCGACGCGAAUCUCGGGAAACCUACUUGUUAUACGUAUAACGGGAACAGUGUAGUGGAUUAUUUGUUAACAAAAGCAUGCAAUUUUGAAAAUAUUUCAGAGUUUCGUGUUCAUGAUUUGCAGGGGGUCGAACGUAUAGCGGUGCGAUACUCCUUUAAGCGAGGUGAUUUCAUGCGAUACGCCCUAAU